CAACUUUCGAUGGUAAGGUAGUGGCUUACCAUGGUUUCAACGGGUAACGGGGAAUUAGGGUUCGAUUCCGGAGAGGGGGCCGGAGGGAACGGCCACCACAUCCAAGGAAGGCAGCAGGCGCGCAAAUUACACAAUUCCGAUACGGAGAUGUAGUGACAAUAAAUACUGAUACAGGGCUCUUUUGGGUCUUGUAAUUGGAAUGAGUACAAUUUAAAUCUCUUAACGAGGAACAAUUGGAGGGCAAGUCUGGUGCCAGCAGCCGCGGUAAUUCCAGCUCCAAUAGCGUAUAUUAAAGUUGUUGCAGUUAAAAAGCUCGUAGUUGAACCUUUGGCCUGGCUGGCAGGUCCGCCUCACCGCGUGCACUUGUCCGGCCGGGCCUUUUCUUCUGGAGAACCGCAUGCCCUUCACUGGGUGUGUUGGGGACCAGGACUUUUACUUUGAAAAAAUUAGAGUGUUCAAAGCAGGCCUUUGCUCGAAUACGUUAGCAUGGAAUAAUAGAAUAGGACGUGCGGUCCUAUUUUGUUGGUUUCUAGGACCGCCGUAAUGAUUAAUAGGGACAGUCGGGGGCAUCAGUAUUCAAUUGUCAG
rnacentral:rRNA from 1 species